GUUGUUUGCUUGAUUGUUGUCUCUUCACAACCAGAUUUGAGCGAGAACGACGAGAGAGAGAGAGAGAGAGUUUAAGCGAGAAUGGCUAGAGAGAGAGAGAGAGAGAGAGUUUGAGCGAGAACGGCGAGAGAGGGGGUUUAUGGAUGAGUGCAACGAGAAAGAGUAGUUUAAAUGGGAACAAAUGUUGGUGAGAAAAAAUGGAAAGCUUUUUUUUUCCUGCUGCUACGUUGAACCAAGUCAUAGUUGAAGAAAAUGUUAUCUCUGCAGGAAGAAGAUGUAGCGGUCGAAUUAGGGUUCGCUAGUAUCCUCCCUUCAUGUUAAGGCAUUGGGUCGGGUUGAUCUAACCUGAGAUUCAUAUCCGCCCGCCUCUGGGCCCAAUCCAUACUAUUUUUUUAAGGUAGAUUUUGUAGAAGCAUGCUUCAAUCCAAAGAAUUUUGAUGAAGACAACAUGUAUCAAUGCAAAAAGAUAAGAGCUUCAAGAGAAUUCAAAGCAUCAAGUUAAUCAAGCCACAUAUGCAUAGCAACAUUUGGUUCAAGCUUCAUUAUCAAGCCAACACUUUUGCAAAUUUGUUGAAUCACUUCUAAGGUAUAUCUAAUUCACUCUUAAAUUAGUAUACAAGUGUUCAACAAUCAUGUUUUGCAUUUCCAUAUUUAACCUAACCAUUUUUUAACAUGUUGAAAUGAAAAACACACUUUACUUAAAAUAUUUUUCUGUGUUUCAACAGUGUUAACUGGUUAACCAGAUGCGUUAACCGGUUAACGGCCCUGUAUUUGAAAUUCUGAAGUUAACGUUAGAUGCGUUAACCGGUUAACCCAUUUGGUUAACCGGUUAACACUGUUCGUUUCAGCAUUUCUUGGCCUCUUUUUAUGAAAAAUAUUUUCAAAUACUUAUACCUUUUCACUAUUUUUUAUGAAGAAAAUUAUACCUCUUUGAAAAGGUGUUUUGAUGAAUAUAAAUUCUGGAUUUUUUAAAUGAAAAAAUACCUCCAAGAACUUUCAUAAAAACUCAAGAUAAUCACUCUUUCAUAUUUGUCAAUUUCUCAUAAAAGUGUUCAUAACCAAUUUUUGAGAAGAAACUUUUUAACAUUCUUGUUUCAUCUCAUUCCAUUUCUUGUUGAACACGUAUAUAUUAUCCUUUGAGUGAAUUAUUUAUCCAAGGAGAAGAUCAAUCAAGAGAACAUUGAUAGUACUACACUUUAUUCAAAUCAUCAAAGAAGAUUUAUUUUUGUUUGACUUGUGAUCCAGGAUUGUUGGACACAAGGGUUGGUGUUGCAAGAGGAUUGUUCUUGCAUACUUGAUUGUUGUAUAGUUGUUAGAACGUAGGCUUCACCUGUUUAUGGUGUGAUAGGCUGUACAAUCUAAAACUAUAAUAAAAUCUCUUACGAGGUGUAAGGGGACUGGAUGUACCUUCGGUUUGUGAAGGGAACCGGGAUAA